rnacentral:rRNA from 1 species
GACAGAGGGUGCAAGCGUUGUUCGGAAUCAUUGGGCGUAAAGGGCGCGUAGGCGGUCAAGUAGGUCCGGUGUGAAAACUCGAGGCUUAACCUCGAGAUGUCAUCGGAAACCAUUUGGCUAGAGUCCGGAAGAGGAGAGUGGAAUUCCUGGUGUAGCGGUGAAAUGCGCAGAUAUCAGGAAGAACACCAAUGGCGAAAGCAGCUCUCUGGGACGGUACUGACGCUGAGACGCGAAAGCGUGGGGAGCGAACAGG